AUGGCCAUAUCACAUUGAAACAUUGAUUCCCAUACGACCACCGAAGUUAAGGAACACCGAGCCUAGUCAGUACGUUCAUGAGUAACUGCUUGGGAAUACCAGGUGCUGUGA